rnacentral:rRNA from 1 species
CUUGCUUGGGGUACUCGAGUGGCGAACGGGUGAGUAGUACGUGGGUAACCUGCCCUCUUCUUUGGGAUAAGCCCCGGAAACGGGGUCUAAUACCGGAUAUUCUGCUUCUGCCGCAUGGUGGGGGUUGGAAAGGUUUUCGUGGGGGAUGGGCCCGCGGCCUAUCAGCUUGUUGGUGGGGUGAUGGCCUACCAAGGCUUCGACGGGUAGCCGGCCUGAGAGGGUGACCGGCCACAUUGGGACUGAGACACGGCCCAGACUCCUACGGGAGGCAGCAGCG